UACAGAGGUCUCAAGCGUUGUUCGGAUUCAUUGGGCGUAAAGGGUGCGUAGGCGGCGUGGUAAGUCGGAUGUGAAAUCUCGGAGCUUAACUCCGAAACUGCAUUCGAUACUGCCGUGCUUGAGGACUGGAGAGGAGACUGGAAUUUACGGUGUAGCGGUGAAAUGCGUAGAUAUCAGGAGGAACACCGGGGGUGUAGACGGCUUUCUGGACCGUAACUGACGCUGAGACACGAAAGCGUGGGUAGCAAACAGG
rnacentral:rRNA from 1 species